UACAGAGGUCUCAAGCGUUGUUCGGAUUCAUUGGGCGUAAAGGGUGCGUAGGCGGCGUGGUAAGUCGGAUGUGAAAUCUCGGAGCUUAACUCCGAAACUGCAUUCGAUACUGCCGUGCUUGAGGACUGGAGAGGAGACUGGAAUUUACGGUGUAGCGGUGAAAUGCGUAGAUAUCGGAAGGAACAUCAGUGGCGAAAGCGACUUCCUGGUCCAGCAUCGACGUUCAGGCACGAAAGCGUGGGGAGCAAACAGG
rnacentral:rRNA from 1 species